UACAGAGGUCUCAAGCGUUGUUCGGAUUCAUUGGGCGUAAAGGGUGCGUAGGUGGCGCUGUAAGUCGGGUGUGAAAUUUCGGAGCUUAACUCCGAAACUGCAUUCGAUACUGCGGUGCUUGAGGACUGGAGAGGAGACUGGAAUUUAUGGUGUAGCAGUGAAAUGCGUAGAUAUCGUGAGGAACACCAGAGGCGAAGGCGGCUACCUGGACAAUUGCUGACGCUCAGGCACGAAAGCGUGGGGAGCAAAAGGG
rnacentral:rRNA from 1 species